CUGUGAGCUCGAUGAGUAGGGCGGGACACGUGGUAUCCUGUCUGAAUAUGGGGGGACCAUCCUCCAAGGCUAAAUACUCCUGACUGACCGAUAGUGAACCAGUACCGUGAGGGAAAGGCGAAAAGAACCCCGGCGAGGGGAGUGAAAAAGAACCUGAAACCGUGUACGUACAAGCAGUGGGAGCACGCUUCGGCGUGUGACUGCGUACCUUUUGUAUAAUGGGUCAGCGACUUAUAUUCUGUAGCAAGGUUAACCGAAUAGGGGAGCCGAAGGGAAACCGAGUCUUAACUGGGCGUUAAGUUGCAGGGUAUAGACCCGAAACCCGGUGAUCUAGCCAUGGGCAGGUUGAAGGUUGGGUAACACUAACUGGAGGACCGAACCGACUAAUGUUGAAAAAUUAGCGGAUGACUUGUGGCUGGGGGUGAAAGGCCAAUCAAACCGGGAGAUAGCUGGUUCUCCCCGAAAGCUAUUUAGGUAGCGCCUCGUGAAUUCAUCUCCGGGGGUAGAGCACUGUUUCGGCAAGGGGGUCAUCCCGACUUACCAACCCGAUGCAAACUGCGAAUACCGGAGAAUGUUAUCACGGGAGACACACGGCGGGUGCUAACGUCCGUCGUGAAGAGGGAAACAACCCAGACCGCCAGCUAAGGUCCCAAAGUCAUGGUUAAGUGGGAAACGAUGUGGGAAGGCCCAGACAGCCAGGAUGUUGGCUUAGAAGCAGCCAUCAUUUAAAGAAAGCGUAAUAGCUCACUGGUCGAGUCGGCCUGCGCGGAAGAUGUAACGGGGCUAAACCAUGCACCGAAGCUGCGGCAGCGACACU
rnacentral:rRNA from 1 species